GGGACAGACUGAUGGAUGAACAAAGGGAUGGACGAGCAGGCACACAGACUGAAAAACAUAAUGCCCUUAGAUGGGGCAUAAAAAAUUUCUUGAACAUUGUUAAUAGGGUUACAACUAAUAAAAUAUCAAUGGUUUAGGUUAACAAGAAAAACAAUUUCCACCUUUUGUUCAUGUUUCUGAAAAGUAAUACUUAUGUCUCCUUUCAAAUAAAAAAUAAAAAUACAACUGAC
rnacentral:lncRNA from 1 species